rnacentral:rRNA from 1 species
CGGCGGACGGGUGAGUAACACGUGGAUAACCUACCUAUAAGACUGGGGUAACUUCGGGAAACCGGAGCUAAUACCGGAUAAUAUAUUGAACCGCAUGGUUCAAUAGUGAAAGACGGUUUUGCUGUCACUUAUAGAUGGAUCCGCGCCGCAUUAGCUAGUUGGUAAGGUAACGGCUUACCAAGGCAGCGAUGCGUAGCCGACCUGAGAGGGUGAUCGGCCACACUGGAACUGAGACACGGUCCAGACUCCUACGGGAGGCAGCAGUU